UACGAAGGGGGCUAGCGUUGCUCGGAAUCACUGGGCGUAAAGGGUGCGUAGGCGGGUUUUUAAGUCAGGGGUGAAAUCCUGGAGCUCAACUCCAGAACUGCCUUUGAUACUGAAGAUCUUGAGUCCGGGAGAGGUGAGUGGAACUGCGAGUGUAGAGGUGAAAUUCGUAGAUAUUCGCAAGAACACCAGUGGCGAAGGCGGCUCACUGGCCCGGUACUGACGCUGAGGCGCGAAGGCGUGGGGAGCGAACGGG
rnacentral:rRNA from 1 species